AGCGAACGCUGGCGGCAGGCUUAACACAUGCAAGUCGAGCGGGCACUUCGGUGUCAGCGGCAGACGGGUGAGUAACACGUGGGAACGUACCCUUUGGUUCGGAAUAACGCUGGGAAACUAGCGCUAAUACCGGAUACGCCCUUUUGGGGAAAGGCUUGCUGCCGAAGGAUCGGCCCGCGUCUGAUUAGCUAGUUGGUGGGGUAAUGGCCUACCAAGGCGACGAUCAGUAGCUGGUCUGAGAGGAUGAUCAGCCACACUGGGACUGAGACACGGCCCAGACUCCUACGGGAGGCAGCAGUGGGGAAUAUUGGGCGAGGGGCGCAAGCCUGAUCCAGCCAUGCCGCGUGAGUGAUGAAGGCCUUAGGGUUGUAAAGCUCUUUUGUCCGGGACGAUAAUGACGGUACCGGAAGAAUAAGCCCCGGCUAACUUCGUG
rnacentral:rRNA from 1 species